rnacentral:rRNA from 1 species
GACGUAGGGCGCGAGCGUUGUCCGGAUUUAUUGGGCGUAAAGAGCUCGUAGGCGGCUUGUCGCGUCGACUGUGAAAACCCGCGGCUCAACCGCGGGCCUGCCAGCCGAUACGGGCAGGCUAGAGUUCGGUAGGGGAGACUGGAAUUCCUGGGUGUAGCGGUGAAAUGCGCAGAUAUCAGGAGGAACACCGAUGGCGAAGGCAGGUCUCUGGGCCGGUACCGACGCUGAGGAGCGAAAGCGUGGGGAGCGAACAGG